GCUUGCUAUGAUUGAACUUAAAGAAAAACAGACGAAUCUGAGGAUCAGAGGCCUACCUGAAAUUGAGAAGGAAAGUUUGAUAGACUUUCUUACACAGGAAUUUGCUAACUUUUGGGACUUGGACUUGGGACAAGAAGAGUUUAGAAUUGUGAGGGCCUUCAGACUUGGAAGAGGAGGGAAAAAAGAGAAGAAUACAAUAAGAGACUGUUUGAUUACCCUUCGAACUAAAGAAGAGAGAGACAGAAUUUUGGGUUGGCACUACCAGAAGAACCUAGAAGUACAACAGUCAAGAGUGGUAAUUUUUAAAGACGUCCCGAAAUAUCUUUUGGAUCUUAGGCCUGAUUACGGAGAUAUUGUUGCCUUGCUGAGAAAGAAUAAAAUUAUCUUUAGGUGGGAGUUUCCCCAAGGUUUAUCUUUCAGUUUCAAAGGUAGGAAAAUAAAAAUAAGAUCAGUAGAGGAUAAAGCGAAGUUUCUGUAUAAAUACAAAGAAGAUCUGCAGAAGGGAUUUGGAAAAGAGCCAAGAGUACCGGACAGAAGAUCACCAGAUAGAGGACUAGAGCAGAGAGCAUUGAAUAGAAGAUCACCAAACAGGGGAAUAUUGGAUAUAUCAACACUGUCUUUUGGAUUGGACUCCCCAGUGAACGUGCCACCAUUACCACCAACAGAAGAAGAGCAAGCAUUGGGUGCAGUUGGAGGAACAUCAGCGUAAUUACAUGAUGGCGUUGCAGGUCUUGAGCUGGAAUGUGAAUGGACUGAAUUCCCCAGAAAAAAGGCGGAGAGUAUUUCAUUUAUUGAAAAAAGAACAUUUGGACUUGAUUUGUUUACAAGAAACACAUAUGAUAAGGCUACACAGGAAGAUAUUGAGUAAUAAAAGAUUGGGCCAAGAAUUCAUUUCAUCAGACAAAGUUAAAAAAAGAGGAGUGGUCCUUUACGCAAAGGAGAGCCUAUCACCAAAAUUCUUAUUUAAAGAUGAUCAAGGAAGAUUUGUAGCAAUUGAAAUUCAAUCACAAGGAGAGAAAUUCUUGAUUCUAGGUAUUUAUGCACCAAACGAAGGAAAAUCGGAAUUCUUUAAGAAGUUACAUGAGACUCUGAUGGAUUAUAUGGACUAUAAUAUGAUUUUGAUGGGAGAUAUGAAUGGAGUGGUGUCUACAAAUAUGGACAAGGCACAGAGACAGGUAGUCACCAAAGAUGGUAGGCUACCAAAAACUUUUUUUGACAUGACUGAAAAUAUGGACUUAGUUGACAUUUGGAGUAUGAAGAACCCUCUGGGAAGAGAGGGAACUUUCUUCUCUGAGGCUAAAAUGACAUGGACAAGAAUUGACCAAAUCUGGGUAACCAGGGGAUUGGCUCCGAAGAUCAGCAAAGUGGAGAUUUGCCCCAAAACUUGUUCUGACCAUAAUGCGGUGAAGAUGGAAAUGAAAUUGACGCCAAUUGGUUCCUUUAGAUGGAGGAUGAAUGACACUUUGUUUAGGAAUGAAGAGGUGACCAAGAAGGCCCAAAAAACUCUAAGAGAUUACUUUGAGAUAAACAUGAAUACUACAGUGGAAAGAAGAGGAAUUUGGGAUGCAAGCAAAGCGGUUAUGAGAGGAUUCCUAAUACAACAGAACGCAAUUAAGAAGAGAACUCAGAAUG